GUACAGUUUAAAACCCUUAACGAGGAUCUAUUGGAGGGCAAGUCUGGUGCCAGCAGCCGCGGUAAUUCCAGCUCCAAUAGCGUAUAUUAAAGUUGUUGCAGUUAAAAAGCUCGUAGUUGGAUCUCGGGUACUAGCAUGUGGUACGCUUAAUUGCUGUUACUGCUUGUCUAGUCCUAAUCAAUCGGUUGGCCGUUUAUGCCCUUUAUUGGGUGUUUUCGGUAGCCGGUACGUUUACUUUGAGAAAAUUAGAGUGCUUAAAGCAGGCUUUACGCCUGAAUAAUGUUGCAUGGAAUAAUAGAAUAGGACCUCGGUUCUAUUUUGUUGGUUUUGUAGAGCAUUGAGGUAAUGAUUAAUAGGGACAGACGGGGGCAUUCGUAUUGCGGUGUUAGAGGUGAAAUUCUCGGAUCGCCGCAAGACGAACAACUGCGAAAGCAUUUGCCAAGAAUGUUUUCAUUAAUCAAGAACGAAAGUUGGAGGUUCGAAGACGAUUAGAUACCGUCCUAGUUCCAACCAUAAACGAUGCCAACUAGCGAUUAGCUGCUGUUAAUUAAACGACACAGCUAGCAGCUCCGGGAAACCAAAGUUUUUGGGUUCCGGGGGAAGUAUGGUUGCAAAGCUGAAACUUAAAGGAAUUGACGGAAGGGCACCACCAGGAGUGGAGCCUGCGGCUUAAUUUGACCCAACACGGGAAAUCUCACCCGGCCCGGACACUGUAAGGAUUGACAGAUUGAGUGCUCUUUCUUGAUUCGGUGGGUGGUGGUGCAUGGCCGUUCUUAGUUGGUGGAGCGAUUUGUCUGGUUAAUUCCGAUAACGAACGAGACUCUAGCCUGCUAAAUAGUACGCCGAUCUUUAGUCGGCGCGUUCUUCUUAGAGGGACAAGUAGCGGUUAGCUACACGAAAUUGAGCAAUAACAGGUCUGUGAUGCCCUUAGAUGUUCGGGGCCGCACGCGCGCUACACUGAAGGGAUAAGCGUGUUCUUCCUGCUCCGAAAGGAGUGGGUAACCCGCUGAAACCCCUUCGUGAUUGGGAUCGGGGCUUGAAAUUAUUCUCCGUGAACGAGGAAUUCCUAGUAAGCGCGAGUCAUAAGCUCGCGUUGAUUACGUCCCUGCCCUUUGUACACACCGCCCGUCGCUACUACCGAUUGAAUGGUUUAGUGAGAUCUUCGGAUUGGUCCGGGUGACCGAAAGGUUGCCUAGGUUCUGAGAAGAUGAUCAAACAUGAUCAUUUAGAGGAAGUAAAAGUC
rnacentral:rRNA from 1 species